ACGGGAGGCAGCAGUGGGGAAUAUUGGGCAAUGGGCGUAAGCCUGACCCAGCGACGCCGCGUGAGUGAAGAAGUAUUUCGGUAUGUAAAGCUCUAUCAGCAGGGAAGAUAAUGACGGUACCUGACUAAGAAGCCCCGGCUAACUACGUGCCAGCAGCCGCGGUAAUACGUAGGGGGCAAGCGUUAUCCGGAUUUACUGGGUGUAAAGGGCGCGUAGGCGGGGAUGCAAGUCAGAUGUGAAAUCCAUGGGCUCAACCCAUGAACUGCAUUUGAAACUGUAUCUCUUGAGUGCUGGAGAGGUAGAUGGAAUUCCUAGUGUAGCGGUGAAAUGCGUAGAUAUUAGGAAGAACACCAGUGGCGAAGGCGAUCUACUGGACAGUAACUGACGCUGAGGCGCGAAAGCGUGGGGAGCAAACAGGAUUAGAUACCCUGGUA
rnacentral:rRNA from 1 species